UUUUUACCAAAGAUAGACAAAUUAAGACUAAUUGGUUUGCAAAAUAAGUUUAGUUUCAAGAAACUUGGCCCAAUUAUUUACAUAAGUGCAGCAAGAAUAGCAAUUGAUCAUAUAGGCUCUUAAAUCUGCUCUGCUGGAAUUUUUUUAUGAGGAAUCUCAAAUUGAACUGUAAAGACUUCUCAAGGCCAGGAAAGCCAAGCCAAGGACUUGCUGUCAGAUUUUGCCUGCAGUACCUACAGAUUUGGGUGGAUUCCUCUCUUCUUGAGGUCCCCCAAAAUAUUCUGAGGUUCCUUACAUCUGCCAGAUAAGCAAGCUUCCUUACUUACCAGGUAAGAUUGCCAGAAUCUCUGUAAACCAGGUACCAGGCCCAUAUUUCCAAGUGGCUUAUUUCAGAAAGUGAACCUUAUUCCUCAAAGGCUGUAUUGUCAUAUCCGAGUCUGUAUGUUCCUCUCAAAUAUGACAUUCCAGUCAAAGCCUUGGUAAUACAACCAAUGUUUCCAAUUGUGUCCUGUUAUAAGGAAAACAGAUUCUUAUUGAACCUAUGCAAAUAACUAUAUUGCCAUGAAAUAACCAUACUCACUCACAAAGAGUUUCUAAAUUCUGGAGGGUUCAGGUAGGGAGAAAAAGAUAAAUGUUUCAGUUUUGCUCACAAAGGUGUAAUUUCACCAAAUUGCCAAAGUCAUGGUUAGCAUAAGAGAAAAGAGAAAAAGAUUUCCUUGAAUCUGAGAAAACAAAGCAAAACAUCAAAAAAUCAACAAUAUUUCAAAUAAAAGUCAUAAAAAUUAGCAUCCUCAGUUCAUUCAAUCCUGUAUAGUCAGUUCUUGAUCUUAAUCUUCUGUUAGCAGUUUUAUGGGGUCAUCAGUUUCUCCAUUAGAUUUCUGUAAUUUCUUACCCAGAGUUCAGUUCUAUGAUCUGAAAGUUUAUCAGAAGACUGUAAUCCAGAGUAAGUGUCAGAGUCUUUUCCAUGAAUCCCUCUGAAGAUGAGUCAUAUUUGCAAAAGCAAAAGGCAUCAGAGUAAAACAACUGACAGUAAACAACAAAAGACUUAAAAAUGACAAUUGACAGAGGAACUUACUAUUUUUGUCAUAUACAACACCUUAAAAUAAUAUUUAGAAUUAUGGGUGAUAGCCAGGACAGAUCAGAAUUUUAGGAAUGUUAUAUAAUUUUCAAAACACUUAUAUCAAUAACAUUUACCUGCAUAAUACCAACUAAGAAAGAUUAUCAUCACUUUAUCUGACAAUGCUUCCAAUGUAAUUUUAACAGACAAAAUAAGCCUAACUAGUUUAGAAUCUUCCAACUUAUAGGAAGAGAGAGCAAAUUUCUCUGUGAAGUCCCAGUGGCCCUCUGAAAAUCCCCAGAGAAAUCCUCCUCCUUCAUCCAGGUGAAAAGAAAGCCUUUAUUCAGGACUUGAAUAUUUUUGAGGGAGAAGCUUGUGAAAAAUAUCAAAACGUUUUAAACAAGAUCAAGAGGUUGCUGAUUUUGUCAUUGUAAAACAAGCGUCACUGAAACAAUGCUUCAUAAUAGUUAACCAAAGUGACAACAGCAAAAAAAAACCCUUAACAGACCUCUGUCUUUUGCAGAGGAGAUUAUCUUAACCAGAAAUAGAUCUUCUAAACCUUUUAUAAUCUCUUUAUCAAGAGCAGACUAAUAGUGUAAGAAAAGUAUCCUUUUUAGAGAGAAAGCCAAAUUCUUAAUUUCUGUACCAGUUUACUUUUUCAUAUUAAAACCCAUUUACCUAAUUAGAUUCAUUUUAAUCUUAACUAGGUUGACCAGGUACAAAACUCUUUUCAGAAUUUCCAUAAAUUUCUUUUUACAUUCAGAAUUUUUCCCAUACUUUCUUUCUUACUUUCUAGUAUAUUAGGACAAAUUUAUCUUUCUUAACCAAACAAAAAUACUUCCAUUCUUUAUACCCUCUUUACUGAAAACAUACAUUUUACUUUCCUUGAAUACAGAGCUGUUUUCCUUAUUAAUUUCCAGUAACUUUAAUUACAUGUUAAUUAGACUUUUAACCCUUACAGACCCUAAUGAAAACUAAAAACUAAGCAAUUAUGAACUUUUAUAUGAACAUUCUAAACACUUUUCAUAAUUUCUAGAAACAUGCCACUUUACAAUAAAACACGAGGCAUACUUUCCAAUAGACCCAAACACUUUUAGCCUCUUUGCAAUAAGAAGCCAAAAGUAGAUUUACAUUUAAUAAUUAAUGUCUAAUAUCUUAUUUGGAAAUGAUCUAGAUACUCAACAAAUUUUAUCAUUCAAAUUAAAUUAACCUAGCAAAACUUCAACAUUUCAAGUUGCCAAAGAUUUUGGAAGUUAUUUUAAAUACACAUACCGUAAACUAUAAUUAUUGCUAAAAAAGACUUAUCUAUAAACUCUUAUUUCAUUUAUAUCUAAAUCAUUUGUUCCCAAUAAUGAUGUUUAGAUUACCCACAAAAACUUAGAGAUAUUAAACAAUUUUAGCUAGCAUUUAAAGCUAUCAUCCUGACAAAUUUGUAACAGGGAUAACAUAAGCUUUUCUUUUUUUUUUUUUAAACUAAUAAGCCAGGCUGCAUAUUUGCAUCAUAUGCAGUGCUAACUCUGGAGGACAUAUCCAAACAUUUUAAUCAAACCAAGAAACUUAAACUUUCAUUAACCAAAGAUUAAUCCAUAUCAUCUUAACUUAAAAGACAUUGGGUUAAUUUCCAUUGCAUUUAGAAUUUAUGCAAGUGCUUACUUUAAGCCAAUUAAACAGAGCUCUUAGUUUUGGCCAUACCACCCGGGGGUAAAAAUGUCACACACAUAUAGACACACACAGACACAGAGCCUUCACACCUAUUGUUUUAAAAAUCACUCCUUGAAUCUGGUACAAUACAAAGCUCCCUAGUUAUGAAUCCGAAUUUUGUUCUGAGCCUUUUUACUAAUAUUUCUGGAGAAGACACUCAAGAUGCUAGAUUUUUUCUCAGCAAGGGCACGCUUAUGACCUUUCCCCUCUUUUUUUUUUCCUUCAGUCUUAGGAAUUAGUGAUGGGCUAAAUAGCAGUUCCUGGAGAGGGGAGAUGAUAAUCCUUUUUGAGAUAAAGGAAAUGGGUGGAAUCUGAACUGCCUCUAGAGCUGUAUUUCCAGUCUUGCAAGGAUUUUGCAAGGACAGUUGGAAGUUACUAGGUUUAACUUAAUGACAUUCUAGAUUGACCUACUUGUCCAACUACAUCACAAAGGCACAGAGAAACUCCUCAAGUUUUCUCCAAGCUGGAGUUUCUGGGGCAGAACCCAUCCAACUGAAAGUGUUUCCAACUAGUUAAAAUGCACCCAGGGUGUGAGUCUCUGGGUUGAGGCAUUCCUCAUGGCGGUAAAGCUGGUGUUCAACUGACAGCAGCCAGAGAAAGGGUGCAAAAGUGCCUGACUGCAGACAUCAACAUAGUUAUAAGAUCUAGUGAGGUCCCACUUAGCCCAGGGCACUUAGUCCCUGAGCCAGCACAGGGCAAGGCAGGAAGGAGGAGGCAAGGGCCUGGAGCUGGCUGGGAGGGCUGGGGCUCCCUGUGUCUUGGGCUGAGAGUUAAGUACAGAAGGUCCAGGUUCUGGUUAGGUCCAGCCUGAACUUAACCUCGACUUGGUGACAAGAGAGGAGGUUAAAGUUCAGGCUGGACCUGAGCAGAACCUUGACCUUCUGUAAAAUCAAAACUUAAGCCUUUUGCCAGGGACUUAACUCUCAACCUUGGCACUGGGAGUGCCUCCAGACAGUUCCAGACCUUUUUCUCCUGCUUCCCUACCUCAACUGUGCUGGCUCGGAGACAAAGUGCCCAGGCUGAGCGGGACUUGACUAAAUCUUAUAGCUAUGUCAACACCCGCAAUCGGCCUUUGCACCCUUUCUCUGGCUGCUGUCAGUCAGACACCAGCUUUACUACCAUGGGGAAUGCCUCAACCAUCCCCAGAGUCUCGCCCCCUGGGUGCAUUUUAACCAAUUGGAUACGCUUUCAAUUGGAUGGUUUAUGCCCCAGAAACUCCAGCUUGGAGAAAACUUGAGGAGUUUCUCUGUGCCUUUGUGAUGUAGUUGGACAAGUAGGUCAAUCUAGAAUGUCAUUAAGUUAAACCCAGUAACUUCCAACUGUCCUUGGAAAAUCCUCGCAAGACUGGAAAUACAGCUCUAGAGGCAGUUCAGAUUCCACCCAGUUCCUUUAUCUCAAAAAGGAUUAUCAUCUCCCUCUCCAGGAACUACUAUCUAGCCC
ensembl:lncRNA